rnacentral:rRNA from 1 species
UACGGAGGAUGCAAGCGUUAUCCGGAAUUAUUGGGCGUAAAGCGUCCGCAGGUGGCUUCACAAGUCUGCUGUCAAAGACUGGGGCUUAACUCCAGGAAGGCAGUGGAAACUGAGAGGCUAGAGUUCGGUAGGGGUAGAGGGAAUUCCCAGUGUAGCGGUGAAAUGCGUAGAGAUUGGGAAGAACACCAGUGGCGAAAGCGCUCUACUGGGCCGAAACUGACGCUCAGGGACGAAAGCUAGGGGAGCGAAAGGG